rnacentral:rRNA from 1 species
UACAGAGGGUGCAAGCGUUGCUCGGAAUUAUUGGGCGUAAAGCGUGUGUAGGCGGCUUGUUAAGUUGGUUGUGAAAACCCAUGGCUCAACCAUGGAAGGGCGUCCAAAACUGGCAAGCUAGAGUCCCGACGAGGAUGGCGGAAUUCCCAGUGUAGAGGUGAAAUUCGUAGAUAUUGGGAGGAACACCGGUGGCGAAGGCGGCCAUCUGGGAGGGCACUGACGCUGAGACGCGAAAGCGUGGGGAGCAAACAGG